AAUUUUGCAGCAAACUUUCACUGAUUUCUAUCAAACCUAUACAUGCCUUUAACUCGUCAACAAAAGAGAGAUCUUAACAUCACAGAUUUGGAGUCAUAUACUAUGGCAUCUGAGGAGGCAAUCAAUGCUAAAUUUGAAGCCUUUGAGGCACGAAUGGAGGAUAAGAUUCGGACUCUCCUUACCGAAUUCAGUUUGGGCCGAC
rnacentral:lncRNA from 1 species